GACGGAGGGUGCAAGCGUUGUUCGGAAUUACUGGGCGUAAAGCGUACGUAGGCGGCGGAUUAAGUCGAAUGUUAAAGCCUGGGGCUCAACCCCAGAGAUGCACUCGAUACUGGUCUGCUAGAGGGUGAUAGAGGAAAGCGGAAUUCCCAGUGUAGCGGUGAAAUGCGUAGAUAUUGGGAGGAACAUCAGUAGCGAAGGCGGCUUUCUGGGUCACACCUGACGCUGAGGUGCGAAAGCGUGGGGAGCAAACGGG
rnacentral:rRNA from 1 species